rnacentral:rRNA from 1 species
GACGACGCUGGCGGCGCGCCUAACACAUGCAAGUCGAACGAGCGAGAGAGAGCUUGCUUCUCGAGCGAGUGGCGAACGGGUGAGUAACGCGUGAGGAACCUGCCUCAAAGAGGGGGGACAACAGUUGGAAACGACUGCUAAUACCGCAUAAGCCCACGACCCGGCAUCGGGUAGAGGGAAAAGGAGCAAUCCGCUUUGAGAUGGCCUCGCGUCCGAUUAGCUAGUUGGUGAGGUAACGGCCCACCAAGGCAACGAUCGGUAGCCGGACUGAGAGGUUGAACGGCCACAUUGGGACUGAGACACGGCCCAGACUCCUACGGGAGGCAGCAGUGGGGAAUAUUGCACAAUGGGGGAAACCCUGAUGCAGCGACGCCGCGUGGAGGAAGAAGGUCUUCGGAUUGUAAACUCCUGUUGUUGAGGAAGAUAAUGACGGUACUCAACAAGGAAGUGACGGCUAACUACGUG